GACGAACGCUGGCGGCGUGCCUAAUACAUGCAAGUAGAACGCACAGUUUAUACCGUAGCUUGCUACACCAUAGACUGUGAGUUGCGAACGGGUGAGUAACGCGUAGGUAACCUGCCUGGUAGCGGGGGAUAACUAUUGGAAACGAUAGCUAAUACCGCAUAAUAUUGAUUAUUGCAUGAUAAUUGAUUGAAAGAUGCUAUUGCAUCACUACCAGAUGGACCUGCGUUGUAUUAGCUAGUAGGUGAGGUAACGGCUCACCUAGGCGACGAUACAUAGCCGACCUGAGAGGGCGAUCGGCCACACUGGGACUGAGACACGGCCCAGACUCCUACGGGAGGCAGCAGUAGGGAAUCUUCGGCAAUGGGCGAAAGUCUGACCGAGCAACGCCGCGUGAGUGAAGAAGGUUUUCGGAUCGUAAAGCUCUGUUGUAAGAGAAGAACGGGUGUGAGAGUGGAAAGUUCACACUGUGACGGUAUCUUACCAGAAAGGGACGGCUAACUACGUG
rnacentral:rRNA from 1 species